rnacentral:rRNA from 1 species
UACGGGGGGUGCGAGCGUUGUCCGGAAUCACUGGGCGUAAAGGGCGCGUAGGUGGCGUCGUAAGUCUGUGGUGAAAGCCCGGAGCUCAACUCCGGGUCUGCCGCGGAUACUGCGAGGCUUGAGUGCUGUAGAGGGGGGUAGAAUGCCGGGUGUAGCGGUGAAAUGCGUAGAUAUCAGGAGGAAUACCGAUGGCGAAGGCAGGUCUCUGGGCUGACACUGACGCUCAUGCACGAAAGCGUGGGGAGCAAACAGG